ensembl:rRNA 5S_rRNA 5S ribosomal RNA
GCUAACGGCCAUACCAGCCGAAGAAUGCCUGAUCUCGUUUGAUCUCGGAAGCUAAGAAGGGUUGGGCCUGGUUAGCAGUUAUAUGAGAGACUGCCUGGGAAUACCAGGUGCUGUAAGCU